rnacentral:misc_RNA from 1 species
CUCCAAGUCCAACCUUGUUCCCUGCAAAUUUCCCCCGAAAACAUUUCUAGGGUUCAGCAACAUUUCUCUUCUCUUUCUCCCGCAUAAACCAUUUCCAUCUUUCACCUUCUACCUCUCAAUUUGAUAUAUCUUUCAGCCUCUUAUCUGUAAGCGGUUGUUCUCGUGAUUUUGCCAGANUCCUCUUCUUAGGGUUUACAUUGCGCGUCAGACAUUGUUUCCCUAUCUUGUCAUUCCCAGUUGGGUUUGCAAAAGCCUUGUUUGGUUUCUAAAUGCCAAGAACGGAAGGUUAUUUGGUAUAGGGUUUUGCUAUUGAUAUUGUUGCUAGUGGUUGGCGGUCUUACUGGG